UAGACCAAUGAUGAGUAUCCUGAGGUGUUUGAAUCAAGAAUGCUGAUUAAGCCCUAUAGCUCUGAGAUCCAU
ensembl:snoRNA